GAUGAAGAACGCAGCGAAAUGCGAAAAGUAGUGUGAAUUGCAGAAUUCAGUGAAUCAUCGAAUCUUUGAACGCACAUUGCGCCCCUUGGUACUCCAUGGGGCAUGCCUGUUCGAGCGUCAUUUGUACCUUCAAGCUCUGCUUGGUGUUGGGUGUUUGUCCCGCUUUUUGCGUGGACUCGCCUCAAAGCAAUUGGCAGCCGGCGUACUAGCCUGGGAGCGCAGCACAUUUUGCGCAUCUCGACUGGAACGCUUGCGUCCAUUAAGCCUACACUUUUGCUCUUGACCUCGGAUCAGGUAGGGAUACCCGCUGAACUUAAGCAUAUCAAUAAGCGGAGGA
rnacentral:misc_RNA from 1 species